GUUUGAUCGAUUGUGUAUCCUGAUCACAGUUGGAACAGGUAUCUGUAGAGGUUGUCUAUCUAAGCACUAACAAGCAGUUACACACCAGCCAGCGGAACAAUUACCACCUAGCGAUGUGCUCUCUAAAAGGAACAGGAAGAGCAGCAGUGUACAAUCAGUGAUUUCACAUCGCCGGCUGGUGUACCAUCUCUCCAACCCACCGACACAGAAUGCACUUCAGUUCAUGAGCAUACAUCUGAGUCAUCAUCAACUGAUGGAGAUAUUACAAAGGAUGUAGGUGCACUUGACUCUUCUUGGGCUCCAACCCCCCGACCAAAGAAUGUGGAGCUGCAAUCCCUGAACACUUUCCUAACUCAGGGU